UUUUAGCCCCGAUUGAAGUGGAAAUCCUUUACUGUUUUUGGAAAAAGCCCUUCGACUGCGCUCAGGGUGACAAACAGUAAAGAUUGUAACGCAAAGCGGGAAAAUGG
rnacentral:sRNA from 10 species